rnacentral:miRNA from 1 species
AUUAAGUUGGUGCAAAAGUAAUCGUGGCUUUUACCAUUGAAAGUAAUGGCAAAAACUGCAAUUACUUUUGCGCCAACCUAAU